rnacentral:rRNA from 1 species
GAGCCAACUCUCGCCAACGGAUAUCCCGGCUCUUGUUCCGAUGAAGAACGUACCGAAAUGCGAUACUUAGUGUGAAUUGCAGAAUCCCGUGAAUCAUCGAGUUUUUGAACGCAAUUUGCGCCCGAGGCCUCGGUCGAGGGCACGUCUGUCUGGGCGUCGCAU